CUAACGCUAUUGGUUUUGUUUCUUUGUAGAUGGACUUUGGUAUUGUCACGAGCAGCCACCGUCUCUGAGCUUGAAUUUUAUGCACACAAAGACGAGCUGCUACAUCUCAACCCAAGCAGUUUAUAAUGGAUCUGUUUCAGUACUUAAAGCAUGCCUGUCAAUAUCUGCAACUCAGGUCAGGCAAACCAAUUGCAGCGACGUCCAAAAUGAGCACCGAAGCCGCUUCCUCUGACGCCGCCUAAUCGUCCACAGCUGCAGAAACAACAGCAACGGCGGGGAAGCACCUCUGAUGAAGUUCUCAACGUCUACAAUCGCUCAAAAAGCCGCAAAAAGCUCCAGACAGAUACACAGGCCGAACAGCAGCAGAUAAUAUAACUUUUCCACCGAUUUCUGGCCAACAAUAUUUUCCUGGAUGAAAGAGCAACUUUUACAUUUUGUCUAUCUAUUUUGUUGGAAUUCCAGUGUUAAGGCUGUGGCUUUUGAAGUUGUCGCGUUGGUGUCCUUGCCGCCUGUGAAAAUGAAUGCUGUUCUGAGCCCUCGUCCACCAUCAUAGAUUCACGCCCAUCUAACCAUGUCGUAAACAGCAAAGCCAGGCGCUCCAAAAUGAGCAUCAAUACCUUGAGCACAUCCAAAUGCGAAGAGCCAAAUUUGUCAAAAAUUGAGCCGCAAGUAUAGGACGGAGCACUAGUUCGAUACCGAUGAGUUUAUAUAUGCUUGCUAUGUCACAAUCAAAGAUUACAUGAUAUUAUUGCUGAUUGUCUGCAUUGAUUUUCUGCUGAAGCUGACAACAUUCUUGGCACAUAUUUUAAUCCACGCUAACGGGCAAAGGUAUUAAAUAGGCGUAUACAAUCAUCUCAGGCAGUGUUCGGCUAAUAAGCAGAGCACCUUCAUACCCCUCUAAAUAGUGCGCAACAAGUGCAGCUUUAACAUAGAGUUGCAGGAGCAUAUGCGUCCUGGCUGCUGUUUGAUCUGCAGCAGUGCGAGUCGCUUUGGCCCAAGUACGACUCAUGGCACAAGUAGGUGGUGCGUGUGGAUGAGAAGAUACCCAACCAUUUAUGCCAUGGCGGCGUUAAUAUAGAUGUAGACUACUAAUUAUGACGUUUUAUUGCGAUCACCGAUGUUCAGGCCACAGAUGCGAAAAGAUAUUAUUUAACAUGAGAAGCACACAAGCACGAGCACAUGCUGAAGCUCAAACAGCGUGACUUAUUAGCCUGGAGCUAUCCAUCGGGCUCUAGAAUCUUAGUCUUUGGCAAGGCAAGGAAACUGAUUUAAGACGCAAGAUGGCAAAAUCUUCCCGUAUUGUCUAGCGCUAUGUUUGCUAAUUGUUUGACAUGACACAAAAUUCAAUCAAUACAUGGGAAUUAACCGCUAAGAGACCACGUUUGUAUUCUUGCUUGUUUUCAUU